CAAAGUAAAAGCUGUGUGACUAUCUGACCCCAGUCAACACGGUGGGUUCGGGCCUAUUCAGUUUGAGACUCAGGGGAACUCAGCAUCGACUCCGGUAGAAUCAAACUACUCUGGGUUCCGGCUAAUGUUACUCGGGCCUAUCAAUAAUGGAGGAAGGAAUGAAUUAUGGGACGUUUCAGGCCCCGAAGUGAACAUAAUUGUACACGCAAACUCAAUCAGAAACGAGGGCUGAGGGCAUUACAUUGCAAACUUCCCUUGUUUGGCUAUUUGUUUGAACCGACGGCCAAGAUGGUGACAGGGAUUCCCCCAAGGGCAUAAGGGAACUGAAGGCCUGGGACCAUUGAGACAAUGUUCCUCACCAAGGACAUUUGCUGAAAUCACAAAGAGAACCAAGUGGAAGUUGUGUUGAUCUUCUUGUAAAUAUAUUGUCUAAAUUCAAAAGCAUUACUUAUGACAUUUAUAUUAGCCAAAAAUUCGAAAGCAUAGAUUUUAGGCCAGUUAUCAAUCAACUAAUUUUCUGUUUCAUUUUGUUAAUUUUUUUGUGUGCUUUUGUACUUGUCUAAUGACUCAUCCUUUUAUGGGUGUUUCCCAGCAGUUUGUGAUUUGUUAGUAUUUUGUAUCGGGGAUGGUGGCUUCAUCAAUCUCCGUUCUACCACACCUAAUUCUACUAAUCAGCUUAUUAGUAGAAACAUGUAUGGUAGAACUGGGCUUGAACAAAGUCUUGCACAACCUGUGGGUCCUUAAGAGCAGACACCAGCCCUGAUUAUUAAGUACUAGUUCCAAAGUCUGAUUACAAUUAAAUAAUUAAACAAUUAAAUAAUUGUUUUUGUUGUAAUAAGUCACUAUUUUUACAUGUAUUUGAAAGUAUGUAAAUAGUUUAGUUAUUGUUAAUGAUUUGUGUAUUUCCAUGAGCUUGCUCGAUUGUCUUAAAAGCGAUCAGGGAAGUUAUUUUUCAGUUUCUCCAACAUUGGCUUAAGUAGGUAUCUGUUUUUUCACUUCCCUCUUGAAAAUAGGUAUUUCAAAGUAGCAACAAAUAAAAACUAGC